UGGGGAAUAUUGCACAAUGGGCGCAAGCCUGAUGCAGCCAUGCCGCGUGUAUGAAGAAGGCCUUCGGGUUGUAAAGUACUUUCAGCGGGGAGGAAGGCGAUAAGGUUAAUAACCUUGUCGAUUGACGUUACCCGCAGAAGAAGCACCGGCUAACUCCGUGCCAGCAGCCGCGGUAAUACGGAGGGUGCAAGCGUUAAUCGGAAUUACUGGGCGUAAAGCGCACGCAGGCGGUCUGUCAAGUCGGAUGUGAAAUCCCCGGGCUCAACCUGGGAACUGCAUUCGAAACUGGCAGGCUAGAGUCUUGUAGAGGGGGGUAGAAUUCCAGGUGUAGCGGUGAAAUGCGUAGAGAUCUGGAGGAAUACCGGUGG
rnacentral:rRNA from 1 species